rnacentral:lncRNA from 1 species
UUCCCACACGACUUGAGGAGCUCGGCAAAGUCGGAGACGGUGGCGUUGCUGAGGUUUCCAUGGAGCCAGACUCUCAUGCCACUUUGAUCCUCCCUCGUCUAGACAUAUUUGAUCCUAGGUGUAGAAACUGCAAGUAGAGGUUGUUACUAAGGCGCUAGAAACAUCAAACUAGCCUUUGGUUUCUCGAGAAGAAGCUGGAGACAAUGAUACCUUCAAGCUCGGAGAUGGGCGAUGUUGGAUCAAGACACUAG